GUUGGGUGUGGUGGUGUGCACCUGUAAUACAAGCUACUCAGGAGACUAAGGCAGGAGGAUCACAAAUUCAAGGCCAGCAUGGGCAAUUUUGUGAGACUCUGUCUCAA
rnacentral:sRNA from 1 species